rnacentral:tRNA from 1 species
CGCCAGGGUAGCUCAGCUGGUAGAGCAGAGGACUGAAAAUC